AGAUGCGAUAAUGGUGGAGAGUACAC
rnacentral:piRNA from 1 species